UACGAAGGGGGCUAGCGUUGCUCGGAAGCACUGGGCGUAAAGGGUGCGUAGGCGGGGCUUUAAGUCAGGGGGGAAAUCCUGGAGCUCAACUCCAGAACUGCCUUUGAUACUGAAGAUCUUGAGUUCGGGAGAGGUGAGUGGAACUGCGAGUGUAGAGGUGAAAUUCGUAGAUAUUCGCAAGAACACCAGUGGCGAAGGCGGCUCACUGGCCCGAUACUGACGCUGAGGCACGAAAGCGUGGGGAGCAAACAGG
rnacentral:rRNA from 1 species